rnacentral:tRNA from 1 species
GGAGAGGUGGCUGAGCGGUCGAAAGCGGCGGUCUUGAAAACCGUUGAAGGUUUGUAGCCUUCCCAGGGUUCGAAUCCCUGCCUCUCCGCCA